UACGGGGGGUGCGAGCGUUGUCCGGAAUCACUGGGCGUAAAGGGCGCGUAGGUGGCUUUGUAAGUUUGCGGUGAAAGCCCGGGGCUCAACCCCGGGUCUGCCGUGGAUACUGCAAGGCUUGAGUACUGUAGAGGCAGGUGGAAUUCCGGGUGUAGCGGUGGAAUGCGUAGAGAUCCGGAAGAACACCGGUGGCGAAGGCGGCCUGCUGGGCAGUAGCUGACGCUGAGGCGCGACAGCGUGGGGAGCAAACAGG
rnacentral:rRNA from 1 species